UACGAGGGGGGCGAGCGUUGUUCGGAAUUAUUGGGCGUAAAGGGUGCGUAGGCGGUUUGGUAAGUCUGAUGUGAAAUCUAUGGGCUCAACUCAUAGUCUGCAUCGGAAACUGCCGGGCUUGAGUGUGGGAGAGGUGAGUGGAAUUCCACGUGUAGCGGUGAAAUGCGUAGAGAUGUGGAGGAACACCAGUGGCGAAGGCGACUCUUUGGCCUGUAACUGACGCUGAGGCGCGAAAGCGUGGGGAGCAAACAGG
rnacentral:rRNA from 1 species